ensembl:lncRNA
CUAUAAAGGGGGCUACUUGCCUCCUCCUCUCCCUCUUAUUUCUCUCUUGCUCUCUCUUGUUCCUCCUCUUCUCGUGCCCCUCUUUGUCCCUGUCCCUUCUUUUCCCAUCUCCCCCUUUCCUCCCACGUGCCCAUGGCCAGCCUUUCCUUCUUCUACUACUCUUCUUCUCUCACUAAACCUUUCCACGUGGAACCAUGUUGGCUUGGUGUACCUUGUCUGGGCGCUGGCUGAGAUUUUAAACACCAACAAUAUGCAGGCUCAGGUCAGCAGGUGUAGAAGUUGUGACUCCAAAAGGAGACACUCAAGAAUCUGAAACAUGUGAUAUCAUCAACAAAGACACCUUCAGCUCAGAGUUCCCAGAAAACACGCCUUGGAAUACGCAAGCCAUCGCAAGUUCGUAUGUUUGUGAUGAACAACUACUGGAAAGGUCCUCCCCUCAAAAAGUUUUGUAAAUCACACAUUCAGCAAGAUCCAACCAAUUUACAAGCUCAACACACACCUUCAACCAUCAGAAGGGCAACUCAGCAUCACCGUGUCACAGUGGACUCCGAGGGACCCUACACCUUAUGAAUGGGCAUUGUCCUCAAGAAGGUGAUGGAAAAUACCAGUGUACUUCAAGUAAUUUCAUACCCAGGAGGCUGCUCUGGCGAGAUGGUUUGGAGCAGUGGAUCCCAGCCUUCCCUAAGGCUGUGACCCUUUAAGGCCUCAUGUUGUGGUGAGCCCUGUAAAAGGAUCAUUCAACUCCCCAGGGUGAGAAUGGCCAAUUCAGAGCCUUUCAUCUUUAACCUCCAGCUCCUUAGAUUGUUCAUGUUUUAAGCCUGAUCAAAAGCAGCCUUUAUGUUUUCCUCCACAUCCCUGGUUAAAUUUUUCUGUUUAAGUCCAAGAGCAAAAAACUCUGCCAUACCUGGAGAGAUCCCCUCCUGGGGUGAUAAACACUUGACUUACGACUUUGUGGGCCAUCCAGAUGCUGAGACAUCAUGCGUCCCAUGGAUGUCGCAUGCACCCACGUCUUCUUCAGAAUGUUAAGCUUCAACCCGAACAACACAAUAAUAAAGACUGUCAGGAGUUCCUCAGUACAGUUAAGACACAUCUUUGGAAAGGAGAAAAAGAAGAACUGCACAGAGAUGUCACUGAUUAAGAAAGAAAAAAAGGUACAGGAAGAACCAGGCGGAGCGACAACAGAAACUGAAGAAGUCACAGGCUUCAGUGGUGGUUUGCACCACCAUAUAUCAUAUGUGAGUCAGGAGAAUGCAGGCAUCUCAUGCCCUAGGAAUUUCCCAUAUUUCUAGGAAAAUACAUCUUCUCCCUCUGCUGGGAACGUGGGGUUCAUCCAGUAGGAAGUGUAAAAGGAGCUCACUGUAAAGCAUAUGGUACAAAGCUACAGGUGGAGAUGAAGAGAUGGCUCAGUGGUCAGAGCGAGUUCAGUCUCCAGCACCUGCUUGGGGCUCACAACUGUCCACUACUCCAGCCCAGAAGAUCCAAUACCCUCCUCUGGCUCCAGCAGGUACUCAGUGCACUCAUAUGGUGCACAUAUAUGCGUUCAGACAUAACACAUAAAAUAAAUUUUAUUUAAAGAAAAAUGCCACAGGCAUGACUGUUGGUGGAUAGUGCCUGUUUGGGUCAUGAAAAGUGAAGUUUCUGUAGGCUUCAGGUUGAGAUCUAGUCUUCUUCUGUGCAAAGUUUCAGGACUGGUUCUUGCUCGGAGUAUUGGAGCUCUCAGGAUGCUUGUGACUUCAGUGACAAUGCCAAUGGAAACUCUAGAGAUGGGCCACGCCCCAGCUAGGGAGAAGGAUCCGCUAAGGAGAAUCUCAAACUGCAAGCAGGGCUGAACCGCACCCCAUACUCUCAUCCCAGGAGUUAGAGGACAUUGAGCUAAGUUCAGGACUAGGAAUUCGUGGUGGGAAUGGGGAGGUAGCAAUCCACAGUGCGGUGAAACACUGAGUCUGCUCCAGAUCUGACUGAUGAUGAUGGAUCCUAUCUAGGUGCUGCUUAAAUGCUUUUCUUUGUUCCACAGUCGAGUCUGGAAACUGUACAGAUGACCAAGGGUCCAGGCAGACAGAGGAUCAAGUCCAGUACCCUGCUGUCUCCCUUAGAGAGGACCCCCUAAAGCCCCGUGGGCUCAGGAAGGGCACACAGGCCCAGGAGAUGAAUCAGUAGGUAAAGUGCUUGUUGCACAAGCAUUUGCCUCUGACUGCAGAUCUCCAGCACCUACAUAGAGGACUGGGACGGCACAGCGUACAACUGGAUCCCAGCCCAGGGCGGGGAUGAGGAGCAAUAGGGUGGUCUGAACAUUUGCCAUCCCGCAGGAUUUGUCUAUCCCCGAGCUCCACGUCCAGCAAGAGACUCUGUCUCAAAUAAAUAAAAUGUGAAGUCUUUGUCUUGCUCACACACAAAACAGGCACACACACACACACACACACACACACACACACACAGGUGCACACACAUGCAUACGCCACACAAGAAAAAAAGAAAGCAGAGAUUAGGCAGGAGGGCUUUUCACACCUGCACUUGCAGCACUUGGAAGGUAGGACCUGGGGCUGAGGGAUGUAGGGUCACCCUCAGCCCCACACAUGGUCUGAGUUCAUCGUAGGCUAUGUAAGACCCUGUCUUGAAAACAUCCCACAAAAACAAACAGAAAGCCACUGCUGGUUAGAAAACCAAGAACCCAUGGCCACGAAUGAUAGCACACGAGACUGAAAAGUAAGUGUAAUAACAGUAAAAAGAAAUUGUGGAAAAAUAGAAAAAGCAACUAUUAUAUAAAUCUUAAAGGAGGGAAGCUGGAGGUGGGGGAAGAAGGUAAACAAGAAAGAAAAAUUUUCAGAACAGCUUUGAGUAAUAGAACAAUAGAGCAACUGCUUAAGUCUGACAAAAUGAACCAAACGGUUAACAUAGCAAACACAGUACAGCAUAGGGGGCUGGCUAGUGUUUGCCUAGCUCUGGCCUCGGUACACACCCACACACAUACAAAGAUGCUCAGACAAACUCACGUAUGCACCCACACAAGCGUGUAUAUACACCACAUUCCGAAAAGUAAAAGAGAAAGUAGAAAUCUCAAUAAAAGCUUAUGUUGACUCCGUGUUGGAAUAUUAAAUGGAUUUAAAUUGGAUAAACUAAUUUGACAUACUUCCAGAGAUUAUUUUUAUGUGACUCCAUGAAGUUUUUGAUUGCAUACAGAGCUCGAAUAUUUCAGUUAGACAAUGAUCUAUGUAGCUCCUUAAGGAAAGCUGAAGCACC